rnacentral:rRNA from 1 species
CCUACGGGUGGCAGCAGUGAGGAAUAUUGGUCAAUGGCCGAGAGGCUGAACCAGCCAAGUCGCGUGAGGGAAGACGGCCCUACGGGUUGUAAACCUCUUUUGUCGGGGAGCAAAGAGAGUCACGUGUGACUCAUUGAGUGUACCCGAAGAAAAAGCAUCGGCAAACUCCGUGCCAGCAGCCGCGGUAAUACGGAGGAUGCGAGCGUUAUCCGGAUUUAUUGGGUUAAAAGGGUGCGCAGGCGGAGGUGCAAGUCAGCGGUCAAAUUGCGGGGAUCAACCCCGUACUGCCGUUGAAUCUGCAUCCCUUGAGUGCGCGAGAGGUAUGCGGAAUGCGUUGUGUAGCGGUGAAAUGCAUAGAUA